ACGGAGAGACAUGGCCAGAGGACAUGCUGGGUCGGUGGUGUAGCUGUGACUUCCUACCUGUACGACUGUUUAGGAAGUCAAAUGUCAGAUGCUGGUGUGGUGGUAGGUCCUCUACGCGGGCCUGGCAGCACUUAGGACCAGGGCUAACUGAGAAGAUUCACUCCAGCAGGCAGUCUUUGAAGUCAUCCCGAAACCUGGUCUCCUAAAACAACUGAUAGAUUUGAAUCACCUGGAAGCAUUUGAAGAUCUUAGUCUUCGGAGAACUGAAUCUAUGCCUUUGCAGGUUGGGCUCUGAUGGCCAGGCAGGGUCCUCCUGCCUCCAUGCGACAGUCUGCCGUCCGUCCUCCCCCCUCUACCUCCUGAGAACUGAGACUGAAGUCAUGUGCCACCAUGCCCAGCUCCUAUGAGACAGGCUCUUUUGCAUGCCGGCUCCCAUCUGUUUAUUUUUGAGGUGCUACAAAGGCUGGUUUCCAUCAGAGACAUUGUAAUGGCCCCAUAUUUGAAGACAGCGAUGACUAGGGCAUUUGACUCUGGCCUCUUUGUCCUGAAGUUACAGUGGCGCAGAUGGGUCAUGGAGGUUUAUUUUCCAAAAAUAAAAGGAUAAGCUUUC